UACGUAGGCGGAAAAUUAAGUCAGUAGUGAAAUCCUGCAGCUUAACUGUAGAACUGUUAUUGAUACUGGUUUUCUUGAAUAUAGUUGAGGUAGGCGGAAUGUGUAAUGUAGCGGUGAAAUGCUUAGAUAUUACACAGAACACCGAUUGCGAAGGCAGCUUACUAAGCUAUGAUUGACGCUGAGGUACGAAAGCGUGGGGAGCGAACAGAAUUAGAUACCCUGGUAGUCC
rnacentral:rRNA from 1 species